UACGUAGGGUGCAAGCGUUAAUCGGAAUUACAGGGCGUAAAGGGUGCGUAGGCGGUUCGUUAAGUCUGUCGUGAAAUCCCCGGGCUCAACCUGGGAAUGGCGAUGGAUACUGGCGAGCUAGAGUGUGUCAGAGGAUGGUGGAAUUCCCGGUGUAGCGGUGAAAUGCGUAGAGAUCGGGAGGAACAUCAGUGGCGAAGGCGGCCAUCUGGGACAACACUGACGCUGAAGCACGAAAGCGUGGGGAGCAAACAGG
rnacentral:rRNA from 1 species